rnacentral:rRNA from 1 species
AACGAACGCUGGCGGCAUGCCUAACACAUGCAAGUCGAACGAAGGCUUCGGCCUUAGUGGCGCACGGGUGCGUAACGCGUGGGAAUCUGCCCUUUGGUUCGGAAUAACAGCUGGAAACGGCUGCUAAUACCGGAUGAUGACGAAAGUCCAAAGAUUUAUCGCCAGAGGAUGAGCCCGCGUUGGAUUAGGUAGUUGGUGGGGUAAAGGCCUACCAAGCCGACGAUCCAUAGCUGGUCUGAGAGGAUGAUCAGCCACACUGGGACUGAGACACGGCCCAGACUCCUACGGGAGGCAGCAGUGGGGAAUAUUGGACAAUGGGCGCAAGGCUGAUCCAGCCAUGCCGCGUGAGUGAUGAAGGCCCUAGGGUUGUAAAGCUCUUUUACCCGGGAAGAUAAUGACUGUACCGGGAGAAUAAGCCCCGGCUAACUCCGUG